rnacentral:rRNA from 1 species
AUUGAACGCUAGCGGCAUGCUUAACACAUGCAAGUCGAACGGCAGCACGAGGAGCUUGCUCCUUGGUGGCGAGUGGCGGACGGGUGAGUAACGCGUAGGAAUCUGCCUUAUAGAGGGGGAUAACCCGGGGAAACUCGGGCUAAUACCGCAUAAUCUCUACGGAGCAAAGUGGGGGAUCUUUGGACCUCACGCUAUUAGAUGAGCCUGCGUCGGAUUAGUUUGUUGGGGGGUAAUGGCCUACCAAGACUACGAUCCGUAGCUGGUCUGAGAGGACGACCAGCCACACUGGGACUGAGACACGGCCCAGACUCCUACGGGAGGCAGCAGUGGGGAAUAUUGGACAAUGGGCGAAAGCCUGA